ACCUCACGCGGCGAAACCCGCCGCCAUUACCGAACUAGGAAGAAUGAUCGGGAGACAUAUUGGGAGAGCAAUGGUAGCUAGGGCGUUUAGAAACAACGGAUUGGUGGUGGUGCUUGAACAGACUAGGACUACUGCUACCACUCUCAUGGUGAUGGUGAUUGUUGAGUGUCCCUUCGUUGAACGAUGGAAUCAGAGAUCCCAGAAUCGGAGUCGAAGAGCUACGUAGCAGCAUUGUUUCCCGGCCUAGAAAACAGAAAUUGUUCUCAUUCCAUAGUUCAAUUCCAGCUGAGAAAAUCAAAGGUUGGUAGGAGAUGCAUUAGUGGACGUACCUUUGAAUGAUGAACAGUCUCUGAAUCUGACCUUUGACGGUCUGGAAACGGAAAAGAUCUGAGAUUUAUAUCGAGU
rnacentral:lncRNA from 1 species